rnacentral:rRNA from 1 species
AACGAACGCUGGCGGCGUGCCUAACACAUGCAAGUCGAACGAGAACUCCGGGUCCUGUGUCGUACGGGUGUGUAACGCGAGGGAACAUGCCCAUAGGUUUGGAAUACCUCCCCGAAAGGGGUGAUAACACCGGACAAUGUCUUCUGACCAAAGAUUUAUUGAAUUUGGGUGGGCAAGCGUUGGAUUAGGUAGUUGGUAGGGUUAGAGACUACCACGGCGCCGAUGCAUAGCUGGUCUGAGAGGCGGCUCAGCCACACUGAGACUGGGACACGGCCUGGACUCCUACGGGAUGCAGCAGUGGGGAAUGGUGGGCAGUGGGCGAAGGCCUGAUCGAGCAAUGCCGCGUGAGUGAUGAUAUCCUUAGAGUAGUAAAGCUCUAUUACCCGUGAUGGUAAUGACGGUACCUGGAUAAUAAGCUCCGGCUAACUCCGUG